AUGUAAUUGAGAUGUUGGGUUAAAUCCCGAAGGGAGCGCAACCCUUGAUGUUAGUUACCAGCAAUCAGUUGGGCACUUUAAGGUGAAUGCCGGUGACAAACCGGAGGAAGGUGGGGAUGACGUCAAAUCAUCAUUCCCCUUAUGACCUGGGCUACACACGUGCUACAAUGGACAGAACAAAGGGCUGCAAGACCGCAAGGUUCAGCCAAUCCCAUAAAUCUGUUUUCAGUUCGGAUCGCAGUUUGCAACUUGACUGCGUGAAGCUGGAAUCGCUAGUAAUCGCGGAUCAGCAUGCCGCGGUGAAUACGUUCCCGGGCUUUGUACACACCGCCCGUCACACCACGAGAGUUUGCAACCCCCGGAGUCGGUGAGGUAACCUUUAUGGAGCCAGCCGCCGAAGGUGGGGCAGAUGAUUGGGGUGAAGUCGUCACAAGGGAGCC
rnacentral:rRNA from 1 species